rnacentral:rRNA from 1 species
AUGAACGCUGGCGGCGUGCCUAAUACAUGCCAGUCGAGCGAGCAGACGAGGAGCUUGCUCCUCUGACGUUAGCGGCGGACGGGUGAGUAACACGUGGAUAACCUACCUAUAAGACUGGGAUAACUUCGGGAAACCGGAGCUAAUACCGGAUAAUAUAUUGAACCGCAUGGUUCAAUAGUGAAAGACGGUUUUGCUGUCACUUAUAGAUGGAUCCGCGCCGCAUUAGCUAGUUGGUAAGGUAACGGCUUACCAAGGCAACGAUGCGUAGCCGACCUGAGAGGGUGAUCGGCCACACUGGAACUGAGACACGGUCCAGACUCCUACGGGAGGCAGCAGUAGGGAAUCUUCCGCAAUGGGCGAAAGCCUGACGGAGCAACGCCGCGUGAGUGAUGAAGGUCUUCGGAUCGUAAAACUCUGUUAUUAGGGAAGAACAAAUGUGUAAGUAACUAUGCACGUCUUGACGGUACCUAAUCAGAAAGCCACGGCUAACUACGUG